rnacentral:rRNA from 2 species
GAGCAGUAGGGAAUCUUCCGCAAUGGACGAAAGUCUGACGGAGCAACGCCGCGUGAGUGAUGAAGGCUUUCGGGUCGUAAAACUCUGUUGUUAGGGAAGAACAAGUACGAGAGUAACUGCUUGUACCUUGACGGUACCUAACCAGAAAGCCACGGCUAACUACGUGCCAGCAGCCGCGGUAAUACGUAGGUGGCAAGCGUUAUCCGGAAUUAUUGGGCGUAAAGCGCGCGCAGGCGGUUUCUUAAGUCUGAUGUGAAAGCCCACGGCUCAACCGUGGAGGGUCAUUGGAAACUGGGGAACUUGAGUGCAGAAGAGAAAAGCGGAAUUCCACGUGUAGCGGUGAAAUGCGUAGAGAUGUGGAGGAACACCAGUGGCGAAGGCGGCUUUUUGGUCUGUAACUGACGCUGAGGCGCGAAAGCGUGGGGAGCAAACAGGAUUAGAUACCCUGGUAGUCCACGCCGUAAACGAUGAGUGCUAAGUGUUAGAGGGUUUCCGCCCUUUAGUGCUGCAGCUAACGCAUAAGCACUCCGCCUGGGAGACGCCAC